rnacentral:rRNA from 1 species
GACGAACGCUGGCGGCGUGCUUAACACAUGCAAGUCGAACGGAAAGGCCCUGCUUUUGUGGGGUGCUCGAGUGGCGAACGGGUGAGUAACACGUGAGUAACCUGCCCUUGACUUUGGGAUAACUUCAGGAAACUGGGGCUAAUACCGGAUAGGAGCUCCUGCUGCAUGGUGGGGGUUGGAAAGUUUCGGCGGUUGGGGAUGGACUCGCGGCUUAUCAGCUUGUUGGUGGGGUAGUGGCUUACCAAGGCUUUGACGGGUAGCCGGCCUGAGCGGGUGACCGGACACAUUGGGACUGAGAUACGGCCCAGACUCCUACGGGAGGCAGCAGUGGGGAAUAUUGCACAAUGGGCGGAAGCCUGAUGCAGCAACGCCGCGUGCGGGAUGACGGCCUUCGGGUUGUAAACCGCUUUCGCCUGUGACGAAGCGUGAGUGACGGUAAUGGGUAAAGAAGCACCGGCUAACUACGUG